rnacentral:rRNA from 1 species
UGCAAGUCGAGCGGUUGACGGGAGCUUGCUCCCUGAUUCAGCGGCGGACGGGUGAGUAAUGCCUAGGAAUCUGCCUAUUAGUGGGGGACAACGUUUCGAAAGGAACGCUAAUACCGCAUACGUCCUACGGGAGAAAGCAGGGGACCUUCGGGCCUUGCGCUAAUAGAUGAGCCUAGGUCGGAUUAGCUAGUUGGUGGGGUAAAGGCUCACCAAGGCGACGAUCCGUAACUGGUCUGAGAGGAUGAUCAGUCACACUGGAACUGAGACACGGUCCAGACUCCUACGGGAGGCAGCAGUGGGGAAUAUUGGACAAUGGGCGAAAGCCUGAUCCAGCCAUGCCGCGUGUGUGAAGAAGGUCUUCGGAUUGUAAAGCACUUUAAGUUGGGAGGAAGGGUUGUAGAUUAAUACUCUGCAAUUUUGACGUUACCGACAGAAUAAGCACCGGCUAACUCUGUGCCAGCAGCCGCGGUAAUACAGAGGGUGCAAGCGUUAAUCGGAAUUACUGGGCGUAAAGCGCGCGUAGGUGGUUUGUUAAGUUGGAUGUGAAAGCCCCGGGCUCAACCUGGGAACUGCAUCCAAAACUGGCAAGCUAGAGUACGGUAGAGGGUGGUGGAAUUUCCUGUGUAGCGGUGAAAUGCGUAGAUAUAGGAAGGAACACCAGUGGCGAAGGCGACCACCUGGACUGAUACUGACACUGAGGUGCGAAAGCGUGGGGAGCAAACAGGAUUAGAUACCCUGGUAGUCCACGCCGUAAACGAUGUCAACUAGCCGUUGGAAUCCUUGAGAUUUUAGUGGCGCAGCUAACGCAUUAAGUUGACCGCCUGGGGAGUACGGCCGCAAGGUUAAAACUCAAAUGAAUUGACGGGGGCCCGCACAAGCGGUGGAGCAUGUGGUUUAAUUCGAAGCAACGCGAAGAACCCUUACCUGGGCCUUGACAUGCUGAGAACCUUUCCAGAGAUGGGAUUGCUGGCUUUCCGGACUCAGACACAGGUGCUGGCAUGACUGUCGUUCAGCUU